UGGUAGAAUUAGUUUUUUGCUGUAUCAGU
rnacentral:piRNA from 1 species